rnacentral:misc_RNA from 1 species
GAUGAAGAACGUAGCGAAAUGCGAUAAGUAAUGUGAAUUGCAGAAUUCAGUGAAUCAUCGAAUCUUUGAACGCACCUUGCGCCCUUUGGCAUUCCGAAGGGUAUGCUCGUUUGAGUGUCAUUGUACUCUCACACUCUCCGAUCCUAUGGAUUCGGGGAGCGGUGGACUUGGGUGUUGCUGCCUUUCCCUGUGGCUCACCUCAAAUGCGUCAGUGCACCUCUUGGUUGGACAUAGUACGGCGUGAUAAGUGUCUUCGCCGGCACCUCGCAAGAGGGUGGCCGAUCGGGAGCUCUGCGCUUUCAAACCGUCUUCGGACAAUUUCUGACAUCUUGACCUCAAAUCGAGUAGGACUACCCGCUGAACUUAAGCAUAUCAAUAAGCGGAGGA